GACAGAGGGUGCAACGUUGUUCGGAAUUACUGGGCGUAAAGCGCGUGUAGGCUGCUCCGAAAGUCGGAUGUGAAAGCCCUGGGCUCAACCUAGGAAGUGCAUUCGAAACUUCGGAGCUGGAGCCUGGAGAGGAAGGCGGAAUUCUCGGUGUAGAGGUGAAAUUCGUAGAUAUCGAGAGGAACGACCGGUGGCGAAGGCGGC
rnacentral:rRNA from 1 species